AGCAGGGGGCAAACAACAGAAGUCACAUGGGAAUGGGGACGGCAGCAAUUUCUGCUCCUGCAAACCUCAGGGCCAAGAACUUGCCAGCUUGCAUGGGAAGAAGAUGGGAGGCAGGAGUGGGGCAAGCAGAGCCCGUGCAUCCAGAGGGGUGCCGUGGACACACUGUGGACGAGUGGAGGCUGACUGUGGGGGUUGUUCAGCCUCAGCUACCCAUGGAUGGUAUGAGAAGCAGGAAGCUGGGGGAGCCCUCCACUUGGCCAGCCCCAAACUGGGAGCAAUAGCAGGCAGACACGGGUGCGAGGGAGGCCUUUCCAGCAAGGAGAAAGCUUCCAGCUCUCUGCUGUGAGGCUUCCCCCAAGGGAAGAGCAAGAAGCUGUAACCCUGGGUGUAAGUCCCUAAACUCAUUAGCUACUGGGCAAUGAAUGAUGUGUUGUAAGGGGCGAGCAGUGACUUGUGUUGGUGCAGAGGCAGACAAUCUUGGUGAUGGGAGAGCUGGGGACUGCAUGAAGGACAUGACGCAGCCCAGGGAACCGCUGCCCACCCCAGGCAGCACCCUGGUGCUAUGGGGCUCGAGCUGGUCACCCAAGGGACUGGGAAGGAAUGAGUCUCCAUCUACCUCUGUCUGCUGUGGGGGGCAACAGGCAAGUGAGGAGGGGAGGGUUCAGUAGUGGAGUUUGUUGGAGAGAAGCGUCAUUCCCCUGUCUGCACCACGUAAACGAGAGCAUGUUUUUCACUACGGGACAAUACAUGCAGGGACAGAGAAAGAAAUGUUUCAAAAAAGAAAGAAGGAAAAGGGGGAGGGGGGAAAUGAAUCGAUAUAACAGAAGCAUUAGGGCACUCAGGGGAGUGUUUUAGUGGGGCCAUUAAUAUACUUCUCAGGUGGUAAAAGCCACUUAGCCUUUAAAAAUGAUAAUGAAAUGUUAACUACCCAAAGCAUUAUUGCUGAGUCACAGAGAGCAGGCAGCCCUCUGGCUCCCACCCGACCCUGGGGUGCUGUAAUGGCCCUGUGUGCCCCACCUCCUGCAAUGGAACCCCACGGCCCCACUGCCCCCAGCUCACACAGUGUGUGCCACUUCCAGGACCCUGCGUGGGAAUGGUCAGCCACAGGGAGCAGGGAGGACCCGCAUCCCAAAAUGCGGAGCUCAGGGAUGAGGUGUGCAGGACAUCAGGAAUGUUGGUUCCCAGGAGAUGGGGACAGACAGGAGCGGAGGACUCACGCAUUUCCAUCCUGCACUGCACACAGCACUGGUGGAUGCUGGUACCUGGACCUACAUGCCCUGUUAGCACCAGGGCAGCACACGCUGCUGUGCACCCUCACCCUGACCGCCAAGCUGAGCUUUGGGGGCACUGGGACCCUCUGGUGGCCAAACAGCUCUGAGAACCACAGGGGCCGAAUUCGGGCCGUGUUCUUGUCAAGGAGGGCUUCUGCGCUGCGCAAGGAGCGGGGAUUCUCAUUUCUCAUCUUUUAUGUAUCACUGACUCUUAUUUGAUUGUGAAGGGCCCAAACAGCCCCCUGCAGUGUCACACGAAGAAACCCAACAGGUCUGCAUGGUCCAGCGAGCCCAAGUGUGAGAUGAAGGACUUCUCCUAGGACGAGUCAGUGCCCAAGCAGAAAAUUAAUUUCAUUCCAUCCAUCUGUGUAUGACCCCAAACCAUCCCCAGUCAGGGAGAUUAUGGAGUUUUUCCAUGAAUGCAGAUUCGCACUCAGAGGCAGCUGUGCAGGAUGCUGGUGAGGGGACAGGGAGCAGCUUGGCUCCUGGUGGCACCUGCGCCCAUUUCAGGCACCACUGAGAGACCAUUGUUGGGAAAUCGUUUGGUUGAGUUUUCAGCUCUGUCAGGGAGUGCUGGGCAACACGAAGCAUGCAGGUGGGCUUCUUUACCUCCGAGCCCCAUGCACACAGCUUUGAAAGUAGUGCCUCUUAUUUAUUUACAUGGAAACUACAGCAGGUACAAAGAGCACAACAACACCAUUUGAUGGAGCAAAUUCUCAGCUACCAGACACUGUUUUUCAACACAGGCACCAUCACAGCUACGCGGUUUUGCCAGCAAUGAACAAGAGCCUGCAUGCCACACUCCGCACGUAGGCUCUGCACCAGCAGAGGUGGCCCACUGUCACAGCCACUGACUCGCACCAGCCUCACCCUGCUCACAUGCACCGUCGUCUCCAUCAGCGUUCACAAGCGCUGAUGAAUGCCAGCGGGUCCCAUUUUUCUGCACGGAGGCAUCCAACUCCACACCUUCGCUCCACUUCGGCGUCAGACGCCGUUUUGUCAGACCUCCCCUCUGCCGCCAUCAGCCACGCGGCGACGAAACGGAACGGGAUGCUGGUGGAAGGUCCGAGCCGCACCGCCAUCCCAGCACCAUCCGGCUCUGAGGGUGCGGGCCGGCGUCACAAAACAGGAGGCGUUACUUUUGGAGCAGCCCCGACAGACGGCAGCACGGCGGCGGGGGGCUGGAGCUGCGCCGUCCCGCUGCUCCUCCGCCGCCUCGGCCCCGCGCUCUGCCCCCUGCCCAGCUCCCUGCGGUGCAGCCGGCCGCAGGUUCAGCACAAGGGCGCGGGAAGGACGUUUCCUUCCGGAGCACCAUUCUGGAAACUAACGGACGCGGAGGGUUUUCCGCCCGCCGAGGCAGCGGUUCUCGAGCCGCGGGUCGCGGCGCGCCCGGGGCCGGGCGGAGCUGCUAACAGGGGCUGCAGGUAAAGCACCUCGGUGCAGGAGAGCUGCGCGGCUCUGAACUUCUCUGCUGCCCGCCUGAACCCGGGGAAGGAGGAGAAGGGAUACUGUGUGCACUCGAGCAGAAUCGGAGAAGAUGCCAAGAGAGGAGAGAAGCAGAUGGAAAAGGCAGAGAAAGCUCAAGAUGAGGAGAGAGCAGGAAGGAAGGAGCAGAGGAAGGAUAAAGCAAGAGGGAGGUGAGAAAAGAGCUGGAGCUGGGAUGCCACAAAGCAGUGGCCAAGGCAGCAAGAGAACUGCAUCUUCUCUUUCUUGUCCUACAAACCAGACACAGACGUGGCAGCAGCUAAUCUUCCUGGCUCGUGAACAAAAGGAUUCUUUUCAUGCCAGUAAUCCAAGAGCUGCCAUGCCACGGCUCUCCCAGCUCAUCUGCUGUGAAUGCACUUAUGUGGCGUCCAACUGAACGGGUUAGCAAAAUAAAGACAGAUGGCACUGGA